CCUACGUGAGGCAGCAGUGGGGAAUAUUGCACAAUGGGGGAAACCCUGAUGCAGCGACGCCGCGUGAGUGAAGAAGUAAUUCGUUAUGUAAAGCUCUAUCAGCAGGGAAGAAAAUGACGGUACCUGAGUAAGAAGCCCCGGCUAACUACGUGCCAGCAGCCGCGGUAAUACGUAGGGGGCAAGCGUUAUCCGGAUUUACUGGGUGUAAAGGGAGCGUAGACGGCAGUGCAAGUCUGGAGUGAAAGGCGGGGGCUCAACCCCCGGACUGCUCUGGAAACUGUCCGGCUGGAGUGCAGGAGAGGUAAGUGGAAGUCCUAGUGUAGCGGUGAAAUGCGUAGAUAUUAGGAGGAACACCAGUGGCGAAGGCGGCUUACUGGACUGUAACUGACGUUGAGGCUCGAAAGCGUGGGGAGCAAACAGGAUUAGAUACCCGAGUAGUC
rnacentral:rRNA from 1 species